GCGGAUAUGGUGGAAUUGGUAUACACGCUAGAUUUAGGAUCUAGUAUCUAUAAAGAUAUAAGGGUUCAAAUCCCUUUAUCCGCA
rnacentral:tRNA from 2 species